GCGGCUGUCGUAUAAUGGUUAUUACCCCAGCCUUCCAAGCUGGAGACGACGGUUCGAUUCCGUUCAGCCGCU
rnacentral:tRNA from 1 species